UGUCCUUCACGUUGGGCUCGUGGGAUUCGUUAAAGGAAAAACAGGAUUCUGCCAGUUCGUGAAUCCCGGAGCCAUCACACGAAGCAGGUCAUCACACGAAGCUGUGGUACUGGCGUUCCGGUUGGUGGUGAUGUCGGUUCUGGGUCGCCGCUGAUGGACCCGGGGUUGCCUAGCCAGCUCGUCGGGCUUCCACGCCCUAGCUGGCUCAAGAAGUUUCCUUGCCCCGGUUGGCUCGGAAGGCGCCCAUCCCACGUCGGGCCUCAGCUGGAUCGUCAGGUCCUGUUCGCCCAGCCGGCUUGUCAGACUGUCACGUCUCCGUCGG
rnacentral:lncRNA from 1 species